GAAUAUGCCAAUUUGAAUAAGUCUCAUUUUCAUCUGAGACCAAUUAAAGUCGGUUCAAUGUAGCUUUGUCAUUCCACAAGUAUCAUAACCAACAACGCCCACCUCCAUUUCUGUAGAGUUUGGGGCAGCAGUCUCCAGUCCGAAUGCAUCGCCAUAAACAUCAUCAGAUGUAGUUCAGAUAUUCCAGUCCCGGCAGAGCAAGCAGCGCUCCCAACAGGUUUUGGCACGCAGGCCCCAAGUUAACAAAGGGUUUAGGCACACAGACGGCAGACCCCAAGUAUAGCCAUAUCAGACUGCUACACCAUGGUCAUGGUUCAUACUAAAAAAAAGGAAACCCAGAGAAAGCACCUCUGAGAACUGUAAUACUGCCGGCACAGACGCUAAGUGGUGUAGAUGACCAGCGAUUACCUUCUGACGCGCGCCAGGAUCAGUGGUCGUCGGUAUGGGUAUCCGACGGCGGCUGAUGGCCUUCAGCUUGAGGACGUGACCGAGAUCCCUAGUUAUUGGCCAUGUUUGGCACAGCUGCUACUUGUUGAAAAAGCAGCUUAUCUGAUAAGCUGGUGAAAAGCAGCUUCUGCUUGUUGGCUGCUUUUAGUGUAUUCUGAGAAACAGCUGAACUGAUAAGCUGUUGCAGAAGCUAGCUGUUUGGCAGAACUUCUGCUUAAAUUUGUGAAGAAGCUGAAAAUAAGCUGUGCCAAACAGGGCCAUUGGGUCAGCUACACGCUACUUAUUAUUGAGUUUUUUUUGUUUUGCUAUUAUAAACCUCAUUACAUGCACCUUCGAUGUAAUAGCAUUCAUAAUUUAGGCUUCAAUAUAACAGCAGGCUCUACCACGUCAUACCGUCGAAAUACCGUCCAAAUAGAAUUAUGGGCUUUUUCGGCCACGUGUCAGAAAAGGGCUCGGACAGUGCGACGCAGUAGAGGCUGAUAUAUCGAAGUCCAAAUUAUGAAUGCUAUUACAUCAAAGACGCUUAUAAUGAGGUUUAUAGUAGCUAUAAACUCCUUAUUAUCUGUUGAAGAAACUCCAUCUGACGGGUGCGAGUGCUAGAAUUGUAUGAGAAAAGAAACGGAUCGUGUCAGAUGGAAACGGAUGGCCCGAGCAAAGUGGCCAAGUUGGCGAUGCGCGGUGUAGAGAUAGCGAGUUUAUAUAUAUAAAAGGAAAUCUCCAUUAAUUUCGUGCCAUGACCGUGCGUCUCAUGAUAAAUACAUAGAUCUAUUUUUUGCCCCCGUUUUUCAUCUAUAGAUAGGAUAUAAGAAACCACUAAAAAUCAAUACGAUAAGAACCAUACCACGCA
rnacentral:lncRNA from 1 species